UCUUUUUCUUUUUUUGCAAAGUUUUCAUUCUUUGUUGGGUCCAACAAGUAUAUGGCUGAGAAUUGAAAUUGUUUAAGUUUGGUAUGUGAUUUUGCAUUUUGUGGUAUAAUAGGAAUAGGGUCAUGAGAGAGAAUCGCAUACAUAAGAUGGUGUGGGCUACAUAUAAUUUCCCUCACUCUCAAAUUAAGUUGUAAAGCAACCGAAGCCUUGGGUAUCACAGAUAAAGAUGCAUUUUCAUGUUUAUUACGAUUUUAGAUGAUGCGAAUGUUGUAGCUGACAUUCAUGCAGAUGCUAAUCUAGUCCGUGUUGGUACCCAACUUUUGCAUGAAGAAGAAAGCUCAGGGAAUUGGAUUUAUGUUUUUUCUGCUAAUUGUGUUGAUAAUUUUUCUC